rnacentral:rRNA from 1 species
GACGAACGCUGGCGGCAGGCUUAACACAUGCAAGUCGAACGCAUCCUUCGGGGUGAGUGGCAGACGGGUGAGUAACGCGUGGGAACGUGCCCUUCAGUUCGGGAUAACCCAGGGAAACUUGGGCUAAUACCGGAUACGUGCGAGAGCAGAAAGAUUUAUCGCUGAAGGAUCGGACCGCGUCUGAUUAGCUAGUUGGUGGGGUAAUGGCCCACCAAGGCGACGAUCAGUAGCUGGUCUGAGAGGAUGAUCAGCCACAUUGGGACUGAGACACGGCCCAAACUCCUACGGGAGGCAGCAGUGGGGAAUAUUGGACAAUGGGCGCAAGCCUGAUCCAGCCAUGCCGCGUGAGUGAUGAAGGCCUUAGGGUUGUAAGGCUCUUUCGUCCGGGACGAUAAUGACGGUACCGGAAGAAGAAGCCCCGGCUAACUUCGUGCCAGCCGCCGCGGUAA